rnacentral:misc_RNA from 1 species
GCUUGAAAUGCAAGCACAACUCUAUUUGUAGUCUGUGGAAUCUAACAAAGAAGUGUCAUAUCAGAACUGUUACCUGUUUGUUAAAUAUCUCCUGAUCUGUUUUAUCUCAUUGGUGUACUUGAUAUGGGAGCUCCAAACAUCACAUAUUUUAUUUCUUAUGGAAGUUUUGAGUCAUUUGAGUUUCUUUGAUGGAGAUAUAUGGAUAUUAAUUUGAGUGGUGGAAUGUUGCAAAUCAUCUUGCACAAAGUGAGUUUGCAUAAUCAAUCUUGUUUUGGUUUCCAUUCAUUUUGUUGCAUUUUUUCUUAUGGAUGGAUCAAGUUAUUUAUAUGUGCAGGCAAAGCCCCAAAACCCCCGUCCCUCCCCCACAAAUUCUUUUAUUCUGAUUUUUGGCUUUAUUGCUUUUUUGAAAAUCUGGGAUGAUUAUUAUCGUGCUAUUAUAAACUUAUUGCAGGUCUUGUGUAAUUACAACACUCACCCUUUUGUUUCAAAAAUAAACACCUUGGACACUGAGGUUGUUGUUCCAGUUGCUAGCAAUAGAUUAGAGUUUAGCAUCCUUUUCAUCUUUGAUGAAUCAUUCGCUGCUUAUCCGUUUGUACUAUUAGUGUUCCUUCUACACUUUUGUUUUAUAUAAUUCAUUUUUUAUUUUAUUUUUAGGUGUUUGGACCCUACAUUCAUCUUCUUUAUUUAUCAUCACUUUCUUAAGUUGAAUAGAUGUUGGAAAAACCUGAUCAAAUUGUCCUAGAGGA